AUUGAAUGCUGGCGGCGUGCUUAACACAUGCAAGUCGAGCGGUAACAGGUGUAGCAAUACCUGCUGACGAGCGGCGAACGGGUGAGUAAUGCUUCGGAAUCUUCCUCGUAGUGGGGAAUAACCUGGGGAAACUCAGGCUAAUACCGCAUACGAACUACGGUUGAAAGCGGGGGAUCGCAAGACCUCGCGCUAUGAGAUGAGCCGAAGUCGGAUUAGCUAGUUGGUGGGGUAACGGCCCACCAAGGCGACGAUCCGUAGCUGGUCUGAGAGGACGACCAGCCACACUGGGACUGAGACACGGCCCAGACUCCUACGGGAGGCAGCAGUGGGGAAUAUUGGACAAUGGGCGAAAGCCUGAUCCAGCGACGCCGCGUGUGUGAAGAAGGCCUGCGGGUUGUAAAGCACUUUUAGUGGGGAUGAAAAGCCGAAGGCUAAUACCUUUCGGUCUUGACCUAACCCAAAGAAAAAGCACCGGCUAACUCUGUGCCAGCAGCCGCGGUAAUACAGAGGGUGCAAGCGUUAAUCGGAAUUACUGGGCGUAAAGCGUGCGUAGUCGGUUAUUCAUGUCGGGUGUGAAAGCCCCGGGCUCAACCUGGGAAUUGCAUUCGAUACUGUUUAGCUAG
rnacentral:rRNA from 1 species